UAUGUGAGGGGUACAAGGAAAG
rnacentral:misc_RNA from 1 species